rnacentral:rRNA from 1 species
AAUGAACGCUGGCGGCGUGCCUAAUACAUGCAAGUCCAGCGAACGGACGAGAAGCUUGCUUCUCUGAUGUUAGCGGCGGACGGGUGAGUAACACGUGGAUAACCUACCUAUAAGACUGGGAUAACUUCGGGAAACCGGAGCUAAUACCGGAUAAUAUUUUGAACCGCAUGGUUCAAAAGUGAAAGACGGUCUUGCUGUCACUUAUAGAUGGAUCCGCGCUGCAUUAGCUAGUUGGUAAGGUAACGGCUUACCAAGGCAACGAUGCAUAGCCGACCUGAGAGGGUGAUCGGCCACACUGGAACUGAGACACGGUCCAGACUCCUACGGGAGGCAGCAGUAGGGAAUCUUCCGCAAUGGGCGAAGGCCUGACGGAGCAACGCCGCGUGAGUGAUGAAGGUCUUCGGAUCGUAAAACUCUGUUAUUAGGGAAGAACAUAUGUGUAAGUAACUGUGCACAUCUUGACGGUACCUAAUCAGAAAGCCACGGCUAACUACGUG